AACGAACGCUGGCGGCAGGCUUAACACAUGCAAGUCGAGCGCCCCGCAAGGGGAGCGGCAGACGGGUGAGUAGCACGUGGGAACAUACCCAUCUCUGCGGAACAACUCCGGGAAACUGGAGCUAAUACCGCAUACGCCCUUCGGGGGAAAGAUUUAUCGGAGAUGGAUUGGCCCGCGUUGGAUUAGCUAGUUGGUGGGGUAAAGGCCUACCAAGGCGACGAUCCAUAGCUGGUCUGAGAGGAUGAUCAGCCACAUUGGGACUGAGACACGGCCCAAACUCCUACGGGAGGCAGCAGUGGGGAAUAUUGGACAAUGGGCGCAAGCCUGAUCCAGCCAUGCCGCGUGAGUGAUGAAGGCCUUAGGGUUGUAAAGCUCUUUCACCGAUGAAGAUAAUGACGGUAGUCGGAGAAGAAGCCCCGGCUAACUUCGUGCCAGCAGCCGCCGUAA
rnacentral:rRNA from 1 species